GACGAACGCUGGCGGCGUGCCUAAUACAUGCCAGUCGAGCGGACUUUCAAGAAGCUUGCUUUUUGAAAGUUAGCGGCGGACGGGUGAGUAACACGUGGGCAACCUGCCUGCAAGACGGGGAUAACUCCGGGAAACCGGGGCUAAUACCGGAUAAUAUCUUCCUUCGCAUGAAGGAAGGUUGAAAGGCGGCGCAAGCUGCCGCUUGCAGAUGGGCCCGCGGCGCAUUAGCUAGUUGGUGAGGUAACGGCUCACCAAGGCGACGAUGCGUAGCCGACCUGAGAGGGUGAUCGGCCACACUGGGACUGAGACACGGCCCAGACUCCUACGGGAGGCAGCAGUAGGGAAUCUUCCGCAAUGGACGAAAGUCUGACGGAGCAACGCCGCGUGAGCGAAGAAGGUCGUCGGAUCGUAAAGCUCUGUUGUCAGGGAGGAACAAGUACCGUUCGAACAGGGCGGUACCUUGACGGUACCUGACCAGAAAGCCACGGCUAACUACGUG
rnacentral:rRNA from 1 species